AGAGUUUGAUCAUGGCUCAGAUUGAACGCUGGCGGCAGGCCUAACACAUGCAAGUCGAACGGUAACAGGAAGCAGCUUGCUGCUUCGCUGACGAGUGGCGGACGGGUGAGUAACGUCUGGGAAGCUGCCUGAUGGAGGGGGAUAACUACUGGAAACGGUAGCUAAUACCGCAUAAUGUCGCAAGACCAAAGAGGGGGACCUUCGGGCCUCUUGCCAUCGGAUGUGCCCAGAUGGGAUUAGCUUGUUGGUGGGGUAACGGCUCACCAAGGCGACGAUCCCUAGCUGGUCUGAGAGGAUGACCAGCCACACUGGAACUGAGACACGGUCCAGACUCCUACGGGAGGCAGCAGUGGGGAAUAUUGCACAAUGGGCGCAAGCCUGAUGCAGCCAUGCCGCGUGUAUGAAGAAGGCCUUCGGGUUGUAAAGUACUUUCAGCGGGGAGGAAGGGAGUAAAGUUAAUACCUUUGCUCAUUGACGUUACCCGCAGAAGAAGCACCGGCUAACUCCGUGCCAGCAGCCGCGGUAAUACGGAGGGUGCAAGCGUUAAUCGGAAUUACUGGGCGUAAAGCGCACGCAGGCGGUUUGUUAAGUCAGAUGUGAAAUCCCCGGGCUCAACCUGGGAACUGCAUCUGAUACUGGCAAGCUUGAGUCUCGUAGAGGGGGGUAGAAUUCCAGGUGUAGCGGUGAAAUGCGUAGAGAUCUGGAGGAAUACCGGUGGCGAAGGCGGCCCCCUGGACGAAGACUGACGCUCAGGUGCGAAAGCGUGGGGAGCAAACAGGAUUAGAUACCCUGGUAGUCCACGCCGUAAACGAUGUCGACUUGGAGGUUGUGCCCUUGAGGCGUGGCUUCCGGAGCUAACGCGUUAAGUCGACCGCCUGGGGAGUACGGCCGCAAGGUUAAAACUCAAAUGAAUUGACGGGGGCCCGCACAAGCGGUGGAGCAUGUGGUUUAAUUCGAUGCAACGCGAAGAACCUUACCUGGUCUUGACAUCCACGGAAGUUUUCAGAGAUGAGAAUGUGCCUUCGGGAACCGUGAGACAGGUGCUGCAUGGCUGUCGUCAGCUCGUGUUGUGAAAUGUUGGGUUAAGUCCCGCAACGAGCGCAACCCUUAUCCUUUGUUGCCAGCGGUCCGGCCGGGAACUCAAAGGAGACUGCCAGUGAUAAACUGGAGGAAGGUGGGGAUGACGUCAAGUCAUCAUGGCCCUUACGACCAGGGCUACACACGUGCUACAAUGGCGCAUACAAAGAGAAGCGACCUCGCGAGAGCAAGCGGACCUCAUAAAGUGCGUCGUAGUCCGGAUUGGAGUCUGCAACUCGACUCCAUGAAGUCGGAAUCGCUAGUAAUCGUGGAUCAGAAUGCCACGGUGAAUACGUUCCCGGGCCUUGUACACACCGCCCGUCACACCAUGGGAGUGGGUUGCAAAAGAAGUAGGUAGCUUAACCUUCGGGAGGGCGCUUACCACUUUGUGAUUCAUGACUGGGGUGAAGUCGUAACAAGGUAACCGUAGGGGAACCUGCGGUUG
rnacentral:rRNA from 1 species